CGUCAGAAGCAGCUUCGGUAUAUAAAUUCCUUGCCGUUGGAAGGGUCACUAUCAGUCGUGUGUUGUUAAUCGAUCCAAACGCAGUUCAAGUUUCGUGGUCAAACCAGCUACUCCAAAUCAACCAAAAUGAAAUUCCUACUCAUGACCAUCUGCCUCGUCGUGCUGGCCUUCGCCCUGGUCGCCGCCGUGCCCGCCGUUAACGAUGAGAGCAUCUUCGGAGCCGAUGGAGGCGCCGCCGACGAUACCGUCAACCCACAGGACUCCCAGACUUUCCUGCUCAAGAAGCUGCUGCUGAAGAAGAAGCUGCUCCUGUUGGGUUAGGAACGGACAUCCAAUGCUAGUCCCCAGUGAGGUCGUUGCCGAUGUUAGGUCAGCUAGCUGGUCCUGCCCGGUGCAGGAACUGAGCCUUUCUCCGACUCCGAUCGUUCAAGCUUUGAGCGAUAGGAAUUUCUAUUUUUACGCUAAUUUACAAACCAGAUACCUGUAUGAUUUAUGAUUAUAGUGAUCCAGUGUGCUUGAAAAAACGUGAGUGCAAUGAACGAUUUUCCUCUUUUUUUUUGUAUCAUACAACUGCCAGUCAAAUAUCUUGAAUGUACAACCUGAAUAAACGAUAAGAUUUACAAACUAUGAAAA